UACAGAGGUCUCAAGCGUUGUUCGGAUUCAUUGGGCGUAAAGGGUGCGUAGGCGGCGCGGUAAGUCGGGGUGUGAAAUUUCGAGGCUUAACUUCGAAACUGCAUUCGAUACUGCCGUGCUUGAGGACUGGAGAGGAGACUGGAAUUUACGGUGUAGCGGUGAAAUGCGUAGAUAUCGUAAGGAAGACCAGUGGCGAAGGCGGGUCUCUGGACCGUAACUGACGCUGAGACACGAAAGCGUGGGUAGCAAACAGG
rnacentral:rRNA from 1 species